rnacentral:tRNA from 1 species
GGACGCUUAGUUCAGUGGUAGAACAUUCGGUUCACAUCCGAAAGGUCGCAGGUCCGAUCCCUGCAGCGUCCA